GGGGAAUAUUGGGCAAUGGGGGGAACCCUGACCCAGCAACGCCGCGUGAGGGAAGAAGGUCUUCGGAUCGUAAACCUCUGUCCUCAAUGAAGAGAAGAAGACGGUAAUUGAGGAGGAAGCCCCGGCUAACUACGUGCCAGCAGCCGCGGUAAUACGUAGGGGGCGAGCGUUAUCCGGAAUGAUUGGGCGUAAAGGGCGCGUAGGCGGCCAUUUAAGAAUGGAGUGAAAGUCCCGCUUUCAAGGUGGGAAUUGCUUUGUUAACUGGAUGGCUUGAGUGUAGGAGAGGUUAGUGGAAUUCCCGGUGUAGCGGUGAAAUGCGUAGAGAUCGGGAGGAACACCAGUGGCGAAGGCGACUAACUGGACUAUAACUGACGCUGAGGCGCGAAAGUGUGGGGAGCAAAC
rnacentral:rRNA from 1 species